rnacentral:rRNA from 1 species
AGAGUUUGAUCCUGGCUCAGGAUGAACGCUGGCGGCGUGCCUAAUACAUGCAAGUCGUGCGGUAACAGGAGGAGCUUGCUCCUUGCUGACGAGCGGCGGACGGCUGAGUAACGCGUAGGAACCUACCCUGAACUGAGGGAUAAGCAUCAGAAAUGGUGUCUAAUACCGCAUGUGCUCUAAGGAGUAAAGCUUCGGCGGUU